CGAUAAACAAAAUAGCACAACACAGAGAAGUAGAAGAAGGGACUGACACACGCUACAUCUUCCCAUCUUCAAUCUGUUUCAAAACGCGCUGAUAAACAGGCGAAAGGCAGCAAAACUGUGCAACUCGUAUCCAAAACUGAAGAGGAGGAAGGAAGAAGAGAGCAAUGGUACAAGCGGUUUCAAAAGCAAGCCAUGGAAGAAACACGUUGCUGCAGCAACUAGGGCU
rnacentral:lncRNA from 11 species